rnacentral:rRNA from 1 species
UACGUAGGCAGCAAGCGUUGUUUCGGAGUUACUGGGCGUAAAGGGUGUGUAGGCGGUUGUUUAAGUUUGGUGUGAAAUCUCCCGCUCAACUGGGAGGGUGCGCCGAAUAUGAAUACUAGAGUGCGGGAGAGGAAAGUGGAAUUCCUGGUGUAGCGGUGAAAUGCGUAGAUAUCAGGAGGAACACCGGUGGUGUAGACGGCUUUCUGGACCGUAACUGACGCUGAAACACGAAAAGCGUGGGUAGCAAACAGG